CGGCGGACGGGUGAGUAACGCGUGGGUAACCGUGCCUCAUACAGGGGGAUAACAGUUGGAAACGGCUGCUAAUACCGCAUAAGCGCACAGUACCGCAUGGUACGGUGUGAAAAACUCCGGUGGUAUGAGAUGGCCUCGCGUCCGAUUAGCUAGUUGGUGAGGUAAUGGCCCACCAAGGCGACGAUCGGUAGCCGGACUGAGAGGUUGAACGGCCACAUUGGGACUGAGACACGGCCCAG
rnacentral:rRNA from 1 species